UCUUAUUUGCAGGUUGACAGUGUCGUGACCGCUGAGUACGAGUUGGAAUAUUUAUUACUGGAGGGUCAUUGUUUUGACGUUACGACAGGUCAGCCGCCCCGUGGGCUGCAGUUCACUCUGGGCUCUGCCUCCGACCCUGUCAUAGUCGACACCAUCGUCAUGGCCAACCUGGGCUAUUUCCAACUAAAAGCAAACCCAGGAGCUUGGAUUCUCAGACUGCGGAAAGGCAGGUCGGAUGAUAUCUACAAAAUCUACAGUCACGAUGGCACAGACUCUCCAGCUGAAGCUGAUGAUUUAAUCGUCGUCCUCAACAACUUCAAGAGCAAGAUCAUUAAAGUGAAAGUAAGUAAUGGUGUCUGAAUCAGGUGUCGGGGUGAGGUCACAUGCGAGGUCUUUGUCUCUGUAGU